GACGAACGCUGGCGGCGUGCUUAACACAUGCAAGUCGAACGGCAACGCCCUGCUUUCGAUGCGUGCUCGAGUGGCGAACGAGUGAGUACCACGCAAGUAACCUGCCCUCCCUUUUCGGAUGACUUCAGGAAACUGGGGCUAAUACAUACUCGGAGCUCCUGCUGCAUGGCGGGGGUUUGUUAGUUUGGGUGGGUGGGGUUGGACUCGCGGCUGAGCAGCUUGUUGGUGGGGUAGUGGCUUAGUAACGCUUGGCCGGGUAGCCGGCCUGAGAGGGUGACCGGCCCCAGUGGGAGUGAGAUACGGCACAGACUACUACGGGAGGCAGGAGUAGGGAAUAUUGCACAAUGGGCGGAAGCCUGAUGCAGGAACGCCGCGUGCGGGAUGACAGCCUUCGGGUUUUAAGCCGCUUUCGCCUGUGACGAAGCGUGGGUGACGGUAAUGGGUAAAGAAGCACCGGCUAACUACGUG
rnacentral:rRNA from 1 species